rnacentral:tRNA from 1 species
AGGUCUAUCGCCAAGCGGUAAGGCAACGGGUUUUGAUCCCGUCAUGCCAUGGUUCGAAUCCAUGUAGACCUGCCA